rnacentral:rRNA from 1 species
UACGGGGGGGGGCAAGCGUUGUCGGAAUUACUGGGCGUAAAGGGCUCGUAGGCGGCCAACUAAGUCAGACGUGAAAUCCCUCGGCUUAACCGGGGAGCUGCGUCUGAUACUGGAUGGCUUGAGGUUGGGAGAGGGAUGCGGAAUUCCAGGUGUAGCGGUGAAAUGCGUAGAUAUCUGGAGGAACACCGGUGGCGAAGGCGGCAUCCUGGACCAAUUCUGACGCUGAGGAGCGAAAGCCAGGGGAGCAAAGCGGG